CGGUUUGGGUUUGAGAGGCGGUUAUACGGAAAUAAGCACACACCACACAGGCACGGCGGUAGCAGUCCAAUCCCUGAAUCCCACCGCUCAAUCUGAAUCCCCAUCCUCUGGACGCGCCGGAGCCUUGAGGAGCGGACGGUGCCGGAGCUACAGGAAGCCGCCGUGGCCCUCGCCGUGUAUCGCGCCGCCGGAUGAGGACGUGCUGCAGCGCGCGUCGCUGGACGGGUCGUCCGCCGCUAUAGAGCUAGGUCUCCUACCUCGACCCUGCCAAGAUCGAGAAGACCCUGCCAAGAUUGAUAAGUUGUGCCUUCGGCCCCCUCCACUUUUAUCUCUCACACAGCUAGAAUUAAUUUGAUCUUCGGGGAUGAAGCAUACGAUGUCCAAAAUGCCUUCGGCGGCGUGGGUUAGGCGGUGGUUCCCGUUUCGUUUAUGUGUACGCUAGCUGUGCGGUGCGCUUCGCCGCGGCGGAUGUCCGGGAGAUGGGCUCGGACGUGGCUGCGGUGUGCACUUUCUUAUUGAUUUGGGGGCGGCUGGGGGCGUGUUUAGUUGUAAAUUGCGUCAGAUUCGUGUGAUUAUGGGUUUCUUCUGGGCAAAGUGACAACCAUCAUUUGGUUUGGGUUAGCAAUGAAGAGUGUUUUCUGGUCGUUGCUCGCUGAUGUAUCUUUUGCUUACGUGAUGUGGCGAUUGCUCGGGUUUCGGUCGCGUUGAGGUUUGGCUAGGUGAUGCAUCCAUGGCGUGCCCGUGGGCGGGUGUGGCAUGCGCUGUUCUGAGUGGCCUGCGCUUGGCUGGAAGCUAGGUUUGCAUGGUGUUUCCUCGGCAUGGUUUUCUCAGGAUUCUGUUUCAGUUGUUCUGGUAUGUGUGUUCAGGUGCGUUUGUUUCGGAUGGAAGGCUAGCAGCGUCCAUAGGGGCAUCGUGGUCUGGUAACCUGGUGUAAUGUUUGAUGCAUGCUCAAGUUAUGUUUUCACUUGUGUUUUGUUCAGUUGGGUACCUUUGCUUGUGUUUGACGGCUUGUUUGUGCGCUAUGUCGUUUGGUAGUGGAGGGGAUGCCUCUGUCCCAAGACCUUGCUCUGUCCGCUGAAAUAUUGCUUUAACCCCAAGUAUAAGGAUAUGCAAAACCUAGCUUGGUUUAAUUUCCGUGGUACAGUUAGGUACCAGAUGGGAGAAGUAAUAGAAAAAAGGGAGUAGCUACUUGAAAUAAUUUCAGUAACUUAUUUGAAGUUCUCAACCAUUCUUUCCAGUCUUUGCUAGCUGCAAAUCAAUAGUUCAACAUAAUUUGCACAAUAGCCGCAGUUUUUUUUUAAGAAUGCUGGAGAUAGAAAUUUUUAGUAUUUUUUUUUGUAGUUAUGGAAGUAAACAAUGAUUUCUCAUGCAUACUUUCGAGGUAGCGCUUCAAUGUAGAGAGUGACCUUAUUAAUCUGGUACAUUUGCAGGCCAGACAAAGGCCACGGUAUGGCUGUCUUCCCCGGUGAUGCAGUUCAUUGACUGCUGCUUUGAGGCACUGAAAGCGAAAACUUUAAAAGGACUGCACAUUAUUUUGGAACAGUGAUUAGGAUUACAACUGCAAGAUACACGCUGAGCAUGUUUCUGUGUGAUUUUGGUACUUCAAAAUAGUUUGCAAGACAAGCUUAGUUCAAAAUUCAGUCCAGCUGCCGUCAUAAUUCUUUUCAUAGAGGAUGCAUGGCAUGGUUCUGUGUGACGUAGGAGUGGAUCAUCUAAGCUCCACCUCUUGAGUAUAUUGUGUAUUAUGGCCGAAUUAUGAUCUAUAUCAGGUGAGAAAAGCAGGUUCAGCGAUGUAGAUAAAUUCCAUCGGUGUAUUUCUAUGUUCUUGAAACAAAAAACUUCUAAUUAGUAGUUUAGUUUACCUUACUUAUAAUGACACAAAAAUGCAGAAGACGAGAUGUGUAUAGGGAAGUUCAAAUUAUUAGCAUUCAAGAGCUCAUAGUGUUCAAUAUUGUUUGGUGCAUCUAUUGUAUAAACUGACGCAGUGCACCUGGAAUCUUGAGUAUAUUACGUAUUAUGGCCGAAUUAUGAUCUAUAACAGAAGACGAGAUGUGUAUGGGGAAGUUCAAAUUAUUAGCAUUCAAGACCUCAUAGUGUUCAAUAUUGUUCGGUGAACCUACUGUAUAAACUGAAUGCGAUAAGUUUGUAUUGCACUUGUAAUCGUAACUAAUGGUGCGCUCUACUUCUCCACAUGAUUUCGGUGCAUCUACCAUGGUGUUAGAGCAUCCACGGCGCAAGGCGUGUACCCAGACGCUGAAGCAAUCAGUAUAAAUAGAACAAAAUCAAUUAUGUAGCAAAGUGUGCAUCACUGCAGCGCUGGGCUCUUAUUUGCGGCCCUAAUUCGCCUAUGUGCCCACACCACAAGGGAAAGUAAGAUAACACCGAGUGCCAUCUUUUGUGUCGACAUUGUGUUGUGGCUGCUUUUAGAGGCUUGUGAUAGUUUACUGAUUCAUAUGUUCCGUGUGCAAUGAAUCGGGAGAGUCCAUUGUUAUGUUGGGCUACCAUGAUGUUAAUCGUACACUCAUGUCCUCUCUUCAA